rnacentral:rRNA from 1 species
GACGAACGCUGGCGGUGUGCUUAACACAUGCAAGUCGAACGGUAAGGCCCUUUCGGGGGUACACGAGUGGCGAACGGGUGCGUAACACGUGAGUAACCUGCCCUCAUCUCUGGGAUAACAGUCGGAAACGGUUGCUAAUACUGGAUAUGAGCUUGCAAGGCAUCUUGUGGGUUGGAAAGAUUUUUUUUGGUUGGGGAUGGACUCGCGGCCUAUCAGCUUGUUGGUGAGGUAGUGGCUCACCAAGGCUUCGACGGGUAGCCGGCCUGAGAGGGCGACCGGCCACAUUGGGACUGAGAUACGGCCCAAACUCCUACGGGAGGCAGCAGUGGGGAAUAUUGCACAAUGGACGGAAGUCUGAUGCAGCAACGCCGCGUGCGGGAUGACGGCCUUCGGGUUGUAAACCGCUUUCAAUUGUGACGAAGCUUUUUUGUGACGGUAGCAGUAGAAGAAGCACCGGAUAACUACGG